CACACCUGGAGCCACGUCCUCGCACACGAUGGACAGACCCGGGACUCGUAUGGAAGGGGAGAAUUGGAGGUACCUGGUCAGGUCUUGGUCAGCCUUCAAAUCCCAGAUGUGGAGACUGCAGGGAUACCUCACAGAGAAGACACUAAAGAGUCAUCUCUCAUUCAUCGAGUGGACUCAUUGGUUUGCGAAUGACCACAAAGAUGCUCCCAUAGGCAGAUUGCUGCAUGGUAUUCAACACUUAUUCAAAUUGUAGAGGUUGAAGCAGUCUUCCUUGUGGUCACUUGCCAUAACACUGUCAUGUGAUUUAUCAAAACACCAUCAG
ensembl:lncRNA